CCUACGGGGGGCAGCAGUGGGGAAUUUUCCGCAAUGGGCGAAAGCCUGACGGAGCAAUACCGCGUGAGGGAUGAAUGCCUAUGGGUUGUAAACCUCUUUUUUCAGGGAGGAACAAAAUGACGUGUACCUGAAGAAUAAGCAUCGGCUAACUCCGUGCCAGCAGCCGCGGUAAGACGGAGGAUGCAAGUGUUAUCCGGAAUCACUGGGCGUAAAGCGUCUGUAGGUGGUUUAAUAAGUCAACUGUUAAAUCUUGAGGCUCAACCUCGAAAUCGCAGUCGAAACUAUUAGACUAGAGUAUAGUAGGGGUAAAGGGAAUUUCCAGUGGAGCGGUGAAAUGCGUAGAGAUUGGAAAGAACACCGAUGGCGAAGGCACUUUACUGGGCUAUUACUAACACUGAGAGACGAAAGCUAGGGUAGCAAAUGGGAUUAGAUACCCCAGUAGUC
rnacentral:rRNA from 1 species